CAGUCUUCCAAAGCCAGGAACAUACAUCUUCGGGAGAUAAAGUUGCAACAGAAUUUUGAAUAAACUGAACAUGGAAAUGCUUCUGGCUCAGCUAACAGAAUGACGUUGUGGCCUUGGAGAAUGACACCAUCUGCAGGCUGGCACCGCGGGAAAUGAAGAUGCAGGAUUAGAAGGAGUUUGAACGUGUAGGAAAAUGAUGGAGAAACUGCUUUGAAAUGCUUACUCACGUCCUUCAAAUCUUCAAGCUGGACAACAGGGGUUAUGUACGAGCUUGAAAGAAAAGCACUUCCCAAUGACACUGCCCUAGAAAGGUAACAUCAAUAUCUGAUCUGCCAGCAGAGUGGCUGCGUUACACUUGGCCCUGUACCUGCUCUACCCAGGUGGCACAGAAGACAAGCUGGAACUACUCUUUGCUGGUUUUCCCUCCCCAGACUGCUGGGAGGUCAGGCUGAGGUGCCCUGCAGCUGAAUGGUUUGUUGGGAAAACAGGAUUUGCUGACAAUGGACCAGCGUCCACAGCCAGUGUAAAUUAACUUUGCCACACAGAAAUCUGUAAGUUGCUUUAUACCAGCUAAAGUUCUGCCUCAGUUUGUCCAUUAUUCAUCCCGUUAUUCUGAUGUUGGAU